AAUAAACACUGCAAGAAUUGGAAACGUCAAAACCGAACUACACCGGACUUAACGACAAUCAUAGAAGAAGAAGAAGCUAACCGUUAAUAACCCGGAAGCUGCCGAUGAACGGGGAUUUCAGUUUACACCAAAAAGCAGCGAAUUAGUGACUGAGGCAGCAGGAGGGGAAGCCGCAGGGUGUCUGUGUGGCUUCAGAUGCUGAAGGACAGACCUCAGACGGGGUGAGCUCCGUCUCCACGUCUGCCUCCUUCUGGUGCUCAGUUGCUUCAACUGCUCCUGUGACAAAUGCAUUUGUAUGCGUUCAGCCACAGAGCAAUGGCUGUUCAGUAACUGAGGCCGUGCCGGCAGCUCAGUGAGGCUGCGUCCGGACAAACGAGGAUGUGUUGGACAGAUGAUGCCGGGACGUCUUCAUCUUGUUGAAUGCAGUAAUAAUCAUCCAGAUCUGCUGUUCAUUUGCUUCUGUCUCUGCUGUGUUCUCUGGCUGCAAGUUCUAGCUGUUGAGUCUUUACUUUAGAUGAUAAAUGAUCCUGAACGUUAACCUGUGAGAGUUUAUUAACUUUAAUCAAACGCUUGCGUCGAGCUCUGUCAACUGUAACAGUGUUAUCAUCCAGUGUGGUUGCUGAUAUUAACCUGUCUGCAGACCUUGUCUACGUCUCAAUCUUACACCUUUUUUCCUCGUUGUGCAGUGAUUGAUGUGUAAAUUGUGAAGUGGCGUCUGAUUUUCAGAGCAGGACGUCUUUUCUUUUUCCUGGAUAAAUGCCGUAAGAAGCCAUUUAAGCACAUUUGCAUAAUAUAGGAAGGCAAACGUCACAUCGCAGAUUCUGAUCUUUAGCCUUCUGAAUGUCUUGUCGUUACGUACAUUUUUGUAGUAAAGUUUCAGAUGCACUUUAAUGCUGUGCAGUGGUAUAAAAAUAAACCCCACUGAUUGUAGUGAUUCAUGCCGUACUAAAUGGGGCUUUGCUCUGCGUCGAUCCGUGAGCCUCCAGCUGCUUCGCUCUCCUCCAGACACUGCUGCUCUGUUGUGGCUUCGUCUCAUGACCUGCAGCAGCCGGAGCCACACGGAGGCUGCGUCCACACGGAGCCUCCGCUCACAUGUGAUCUGGACAUAAAAAGGCCCAACCUAAGCUUAAGAUUAACUGGUCUAUAAACAGCCAGACGACAAAACAGUGGAAUUGUUUGUCUGGGAUUAAUAACGUUUGAAUCUUGAAGAACGACUUCCUGCUUUAUUUGGUUUGCAGAGGGAAAUUAUUUUGCACACUUUGAUCGCUGUCACAGAUGGAGGAAAACACAAGAAGGUAGGCAGGUUAGAAAUAGGAACGCUAACACAUCCACACGCAUCUUGGAACUCCAUUUGAUUUAGUGAAAUCGUCUCCUCAUUAACUGACUGUGUUUCCUCUGAUUUAAGGUUUGAGGACAAAGUGGUUCAUUGAGGCACUUUUUGAAAUGACACCUUGUACAUAAUGAAGUUUCAUUAUGUGGAGGCCAUCAAUUAAGAGAGAUUUGCUGCCACCUUCUGUUUGAACGAAGCAUCUGCUGAAGUGCUGCUGCAGGCUUAACCUCAGAGCAGGAAGUGAGGUCAAGUAGCUUUUAUUGUCAUUCCAACCAGGUACAUUUCAGUACAAGGUGAAACGAAACCGCGUUCCUCCAGGGCCGAGGUGCAGCGUACAUGCAACACAAGUCACAACAUUCACGAGAGACCGGACAAUAGCUGCAGAAGUGUCACGUUUUAAUACUUGAGCUAUUUGGAAGAAAAAACGAGCAGUCGGAAGACGUGUGGCCGGUGGAAGGACGGUGUUGAAGCAAACGCAGGCCGGAACCCGCCUCAUCCUGAAGCGGCACCAGCAGAGGAGGCUGUGACCACAGCAGAAGCUCCACUCACCGUUUCCGCGGGCGCUUGUGAAACUAGACUGGGGACUUUGGGGGAAGUAGUUGAUUUUACUGAGAUGUUCAGAACCAAGUGUUUUGUUUUCAGUGUUAAAUGUUGGUUCUGGUUUGAUUUCUUUCCAUCCUCUCCCGGUGCUGCUCUGUGGGAUUUGUUGGAUCUUCUGUUGAACACAGUUGUAUGCGAAGUUCUGUAAGGUCCAAAACCAGAACAUUGUAAUAAGAGAAGACGAAGAAGAAAAUGUGAAGCACAGUGUGUGGUCAGCGCCUACAUUUGGACUGAACUAAUGUCACCACAGAAUUAUUGAUAAGUAUUUAACCACUGGUCAGUGAUGCAUUUGUUUCCCCUGGAGGUUUCCACGUCCACAGCGUUUGUUUGUGUUGGUUUAAAUGGGUGAAGAGCCACAGCGUUUAUACAGUGGAUGCUCUGCAUCGUCUGAGUGCUGAUAGAAGAUGACAAACCGCCAUCAUGCGCCUAUGUUGCGUAAUCCAACACCUUCUGGCUUCUUUCUCACCGCUAAAAAUACCAGCAGAUCUGGACCUGCAUCUGAUACCGUCCUCGCUGCCUCACCAACACAAACGUCCUGCGGUCUCAUCUUCACAGAGGGAGAACAACCCGCCAUGUGACGAAAGGGAAUGACAUGUAGCUGCAGCAGGAAACAGGGUAGAAGUGAAGCUGUCUGUGGUCAGCAGCGGCCUGUGAGGCUGGGCGCUGCACGCAUCACCGCUCGCUCUGUCCGACUACGGUCCAAAACAUCAGCUGAUGAAAUGUAAUUAGCUCUGCAGCAGCCGAGCGACUGGAGGAGCAGCCGCCCUGACGGAGGAGGCCGAACAAACACGCACGUUUCUGUCGCACUUUUUAAUUGGCAAGUUUUGCAUGAAUGUGUGACUUCACAGAUUAAGACUCUGCAAAAAACACUGGUGCUUAGUGGAAAUGAUGGUACAGAAGUUCAACAAUGACAAAACUUAAACAGAAAAGCGCUAAUAACAUUAACGGAUCCCAAACAUUCAGCAGUGGCUUAUAUUAUAAUAUGUAAUAUAUUCUUUUGUCCUUUCAAGACGGGACACUGAGGACCCUGAGGUUUCUGGUUGUAUUUAGUCAGUUUGGGCUCGAGCGAUGAUAUAAUUUAAUUUGUAAAGUGAGCUAAAAGCCAGAG